UACGUAGGGUGCGAGCGUUAAUCGGAAUUACUGGGCGUAAAGCGUGCGCAGGCGGUUUUGUAAGCCAGAUGUGAAAUCCCCGGGCUUAACCUGGGAAUGGCAUUUGGGACUGCAAGGCUGGAGUGUGGCAGAGGGGGGUAGAAUUCCACGUGUAGCAGUGAAAUGCGUAGAGAUGUGGAGGAACACCGAUGGCGAAGGCAGCCCCCUGGGUCAAGACUGACGCUCAUGCACGAAAGCGUGGGGAGCAAACAGG
rnacentral:rRNA from 1 species